UACGUAGGUGGCAAGCGUUGUCCGGAAUUAUUGGGCGUAAAGCGCGCGCAGGCGGUCCUUUAAGGCUGAUGUGAAAGCCCACGGCUCAACCGUGGAAGGUCAUUGGAAACUGGGGGACUUGAGUACAGAAGAGGAAAGCGGAAUUCCAAGUGUAGCGGUGAAAUGCGUAGAGAUUUGGAGGAACACCAGUGGCGAAGGCGGCUUUCUGGUCUGUAACUGACGCUGAGGCGCGAAAGCGUGGGGAGCAAACAGG
rnacentral:rRNA from 1 species